AUUGAACGCUGGCGGCAGGCCUAACACAUGCAAGUCGAGCGAGCGGCGGACGGGUGAGUAAUGUCUGGGAAACUGCCUGAUGGAGGGGGAUAACUACUGGAAACGGUAGCUAAUACCGCAUACCAUCAGAUGUGCCCAGAGGGGAUUAGCUAGUAGGUGGGGUAACGGCUCACCUAGGCGACGAUCCCUAGCUGGUCUGCGAGGAUGACCAGCCACACUGGGACUAGGACACGGUCCAGACGCCUCCGGGAGGCAGCAGUGGGGAAUAUUGCACAAUGGGCGCAAGCCUGAUGCAGCCAUGCCGUGUGUGUGAAGAAGGCCUUCGGGUUGUAAAGCACUUUCAGCGGUGAGUCGUUACCCGCAGAAGAAGCACCGGCUAACUCCGUGCCAGCCGCCGCGGUAAUAC
rnacentral:rRNA from 1 species